rnacentral:rRNA from 1 species
GUGCCAGCCGCCGCGGUAAAACGUAGGAGCCAAGCGUUAUCCGAAUUCACUGGGCGUAAAGCGCGUGCAGGCGGAGCGGUAAGUUGGAUGUGAAAUCUCCCGGCUCAACUGGGAGGGGCCGUUCAAUACUACCGAUCUAGAGGGCGACAGAGGGAGGUGGAAUUCCGGGUGUAGUGGUGAAAUGCGUAGAUAUCCGGAGGAACACCAGAGGCGAAGGCGACCUCCUGGGUCGCACCUGACGCUGAGAUGCGAAAGCUAGGGGAGCGAACGGGAUUAGAUACCCGCGUAGUCC